rnacentral:rRNA from 1 species
AACGAACGCUGGCGGCAUGCCUAACACAUGCAAGUCGAACGAGACCUUCGGGUCUAGUGGCGCACGGGUGCGUAACGCGUGGGAACCUGCCCUUAGGUUCGGAAUAACUCCCCGAAAGGGGUGCUAAUACCGGAUAAUGUCUUCGGACCAAAGAUUUAUCGCCUUUGGAUGUGCCCGCGUUGGAUUAGCUCGUUGGUAGGGUAAAAGCCUACCAAGGCGACGAUCCAUAGCUGGUCUGAGAGGAUGAUCAGCCACACUGGGACUGAGACACGGCCCAGACUCCUACGGGAGGCAGCAGUGGGGAAUAUUGGACAAUGGGCGAAAGCCUGAUCCAGCAAUGCCGCGUGAGUGAUGAAGGCCUUAGGGUUGUAAAGCUCUUUUACCCGGGAUGAUAAUGACAGUACCGGGAGAAUAAGCUCCGGCUAACUCCGUG